rnacentral:tRNA from 1 species
CCUUCGAUAGCUCAGUUUUGGUUAGAGCGGUGGACUGUAGACGGUUAAUGGACAUCCAUAGGUCGCUGGUUCAAAUCCGGCUCGAAGGA